GACGAAGGGGGCUAGCGUUGUUCGGAAUUACUGGGCGUAAAGCGCGUGUAGGCGGUUGUUCAAGUCAGGUGUGAAAGCCUUGAGCUCAACUCAAGAAAUGCACUUGAUACUGGAUGACUAGAGGACCGGAGAGGAUAGUGGAAUUCCCAGUGUAGUGGUGAAAUACGUAGAGAUUGGGAAGAACACCAGUGGCGAAGGCGGCUAUCUGGACGGUUUCUGACGCUAAGACGCGAAAGCGUGG
rnacentral:rRNA from 1 species